AAAGGCACGAUUGAGGUGGUC
rnacentral:siRNA from 1 species